rnacentral:rRNA from 1 species
AGAGUUUGAUCCUGGCUCAGGAUGAACGCUGGCGGUAUGCGUAACACAUGCAAGUCGAACGAAGUUUUUCGGAACUUAGUGGCGGACGGGUGAGUAACGCGUGAGAAUCUGCCUUAAGGAUUGGGACAACAGUGGGAAACCGCUGCUAAUACCAAAUAUGCCUUUUAGUGAAACGGGUAAAACCGCCUUAAGAUGAGCUCGCGUCUGAUUAGCUAGUUGGUGUGGUAAGAGCGCACCAAGGCAACGAUCAGUAGCUGGUCUGAGAGGACGACCAGCCACACUGGGACUGAGACACGGCCCAGACUCCUACGGGAGGCAGCAGUGAGGAAUUUUCCGCAAUGGGCGAAAGCCUGACGGAGCAAUACCGCGUGAGGGAGGAAGGUUCUUGGAUUGUAAACCUCUUUUCUCAGAGAAGAAUAAUGACGGUAUCUGAGGAAUAAGCAUCGGCUAACUCCGUGCCAGCAGCCGCGGUAAUACGGAGGAUGCAAGCGUUAUCCGGAAUGAUUGGGCGUAAAGGGUCUGUAGGUGGUUGUUCAAGUCUGCUGUUAAAGCGUCUGGCUUAACCAGAUAAAGGCGGUGGAAACUGAACGACUAGAGUGCGGUAGGGGUAGAGGGAAUUCCCAGUGUAGCGGUGAAAUGCGUAGAUCUUGGGAAGAACACCUGUGGCGAAAGCGCUCUACUGGACCGCGACUGACACUGAUGGACGAAAGCUAGGGGAGCGAAUGGGAUUAGAUACCCCGGUAGUCC